AGGCCUAGUGCUGAGGGGUGCAUAUUCCUAGGGCUGAGAACUUCACGGCAGGGAGGGAUCCCCGAGGCUGGAGUAGCCAGAGUGGACUUCCUGGAGGGAGUGGUGCGGGGCCUGGAAGGAUGGGCAAGGCAGUGGCAGUCAGGAAAGGUUGAGUGAUCAGCAGGUUAUUCUUGUCAGACUCAUCUCCAUCUUCUUCCAGCUUGAAUGUGUCACAGGUCCAACCACGUUUCCUGAACCCAGAGUCAUCAUUCUUGGCGAUGGAUAUCCCAGGACACCUGCACUAGAGUGUUGAGCCAAAGGCCCUGUGACUGGAAUCUUCUCCCAAAUUGGGGCUUGACUAAUUCAUCUAAAGUCAGUACUGUGCCUGGUGCUAGAAAUCAUGGUCAAAAUGACAACAGUGGACCACUACUGAAUGCUCACUCUGCGUCAGGCCUCCAUGAAGCAGAUGCAACGUGCUCCAUGUCACUCAAUGAGUGGCUGAUCACGUGAGGAGAAGCAACAAAAAAUCUGGCACUUAGACCCUGCUUACUACAUGCCAGCCUCUUAAUUCAUGUCUCCCUCCUGACAGUCCCACGAUGCAGGUACUCUCAUCCCUACUCUUAUUAUCCCUGUGAUAAUACAGGUGAGGAAACAGGACACAGACGGGUCAGCUCCUGCCACGGCUGCAUAACUAAGAAGGGGCAGACAUGGGAUUUGAAUCCAGCCUUCCACAAGGCCCAGAGGCUCCAGAAGAAACGCUGAAAGGACUUCUCAAUGCUCUGCUGCUGCUGCUGCUGCUGCUGCUGCUAAGUCGCAUCAGUCAUGUCCGACUCUGUGCAACCCCAUAGACGGCAGCCCACCAGGCUCCUCCGUCCCUGCUCUACCAAGUUGCUAAAGAUUUCUUUUCUUUUGAAAGUUUAAGCUGCCCUCUAGCGGAAAAUACAAGCCAAAAUUGGGGCCUG